UACGUAGGUGACAAGCGUUGUCCGGAUUUACUGGGCGUAAAGCGUGCGUAGGUGGUGAGUUAAGUCUGUCGUGAAAGCCCCGGGCUCAACCUGGGAAUGGCGAUGGAUACUGGCUCGCUAGAGUGCGGUAGAGGAGAGUGGAAUUCCCGGUGUAGCAGUGAAAUGCGUAGAGAUCGGGAGGAACAUCAGUUGCUAAGGCGGCUCUCUGGACCAGCACUGGCACUGAGGCACGAAAGCGUGGGGAGCAAACAGG
rnacentral:rRNA from 1 species